CGGAGGUGGCGAGCGUUGCUCGGAUUCAUUGGGUGUAAAGGGUCGGUAGGCGGUCUUGUAAGUGCCCGGUGAAAUUCCACGGCUCAACCGUGGAGCGCCCGGGUAGACUGCAGGACUUGAGGGCUGGAGAGGCAAGCGGAAUUCCCGGUGUAAGGGUGAAAUCUGUAGAUGUCGGGAGGAACACCAGUGGCGAAGGCGGCUUGCUGGACAGCAUCUGACGCUGAGCGACGAAAGCGUGGGGAGCAAACAGGAUUAGAUACCCUGGUAGUCCACGCUGUAAACGAUGAGGACUAGGUGUCAGCCCGUUUCGGGUUGGUGCCGCAGGUAACCCAUUAAGUCCUCCACCUGGGGAGUACGUCCGCAAGGAUG
rnacentral:rRNA from 1 species